rnacentral:tRNA from 1 species
AUCUAGAUAGUUUAUUUAAAAUACUGAUUUGUGGUGUCAGUGAUAUGAUUAGUCAUUUUAGAUC